rnacentral:rRNA from 1 species
UACGUAGGGUGCAAGCGUUGUCCGGAAUUAUUGGGCGUAAAGAGCGUGUAGGCGGCCAGACAAGUCUGCUGUGAAAACUCGAGGCUCAACCUCGAGCUGUCGGUGGAAACUGUCUGGCUAGAGCCGAAGAGGAGAGUGGAAUUCCUGGUGAGCGGUGAAAUGCGCAGAUAUCAGGAAGAACACCUAUGGCGAAGGCAGCUCUCUGGGACGGUA